AUACAUUUAUAACUACAUUCUCGUUUGUUUUCUGCCAAUCCCUCCUUCCAAACUUGUAAUGAUCUGAGUGAUUGAUUGCAUUAUGAUCAAUCGAUGACGUAGGAAGAUGAGUGAAUCUGAAGGUAGCUUACCAUGAAGGUCGAUGAUUGGAUUGGAUCGCAUCUGUAAUUGCUGAACUGCAAAAACAAAGAUUAUCGGCAGUUCGGCGAGGCCUCUAAUUCAAUGGUCGAUUUCUGGUGUAAGGUAGUUCCGGCGCAUCGCCAUGAGUUUCUCGUUGGGGGGCUCUACUGAUAUUGCACUCUAUAGUUCAUCAUUCAUCAAACUGUCGUGUAAUUGCGGGGAAGAAGAAAGCCAAUGUAGAUUUUGUAUUUGCUGCAGCCGAUGGGAUGAGGGGAGCCGGAGGAAGAAGCUAAUGCUAUAUAACACAACCUGUAACGUGUAAAUUUGGCCAGAUAUUGUAUUGAGAACUAGGUCUUGCGAGGAAGACAAUUCCUUUAAGGACAUUCCUUGUCUCCUUUCUUCAUGUUUAUUUGUUAGUAUCAGGCUCGUCUCCUCCAUUUCUAUGUCAGUAAGUACUCCCUCUGUUUUUAUCCUUUUUGUGUAUUGUUUUAUUCCUAGCUCUUUUAGGGAAAAUGUAAAGAGUAGUUCUCCAAAGGAAAAAUGGGGAUAUAUAGCUCAAACUUUUAGUUGAUUCACAUUCCUGAUGCUUGGCUCAUUUGGUCCCUUCUUUGUAGAAGUUCUAAUACUGCUGAUAAACCACAGAGGAGAUUUCCCCUUUGGGGGUUUUCUCCCUCGGUCUGUUGCUUUUUAUUUUUUAAGACGAGAUGAUUUGGUGGA